UACGUAGGUGGCAAGCGUUGUCCGGAAUUAUUGGGCGUAAAGCGCGCGCAGGCGGUCCUUUAAGUCUGAUGUGAAAGCCCACGGCUCAACCGUGGAGGGUCAUUGGAAACUGGGGGACUUGAGUACAGAAGAGAAGAGUGGAAUUCCACGUGUAGCGGUGAAAUGCGUAGAGAUGUGGAGGAACACCAGUGGCGAAGGCGACUCUUUGGUCUGUAACUGACGCUGAGGAGCGAAAGCAUGGGGAGCGAACAGG
rnacentral:rRNA from 1 species